GUAGUCUGCAACCCGACUACAUGAAGCUGGAAUCGCUAGUAAUCGCAGGUCAGCAUACUGCGGUGAAUACGUUCCCGGGUCUUGUACACACCGCCCGUCACACCAUGGGAGCCGGAAAUGCCCGAAGCCAGUGACCCAACCUUAGGGAGGGAGCUGUCGAAGGUGGAGCCGGUAACUGGGGUGAAGUCGUAACAAGGUAUC
rnacentral:rRNA from 1 species